AUGAAGGAGCAGGACCAGGAUCGGGGGGAGAAGGAGAUGGGGAGCCCGGACCGAGGGGAACGCGCCGUGUCAGGGGGGCGGGGGCUGCGAGCGGCUCAUCCCAUCCCACCCCCUGCCAUAGCAGGGGCACCUUCCACUAGCUCAGGUUGCUCCAAACCCCGUCCAUCCUGGCCUUGGACACAUCCAGGGAUGGGGCAGCCACAGCUUCUCUGGGAAAUCCAUUCCAGCCCCUCACCACCCUCACGGGGAAGGAUUUCUUCCUAGUAUUCCAUCUAACCCUGCCCUCUGGCAAUGGGAAGCCAGUCCCCCUUUUCCUGUCCCUCCAUCACGGGAUGGAGUCCCUCUCCAGGUCUUCUGGGGCCCCAUUAGGCACUGGAGGGGGCUCUAAGGUUUCCCUGGAGCCUUCUCUUCUCCAGGUAAACACCCCCAGUUCUCCCAGCCUGGCUCCAGAGCAGAGGGGCUCCAGCCUUGGGACCAUCUCCGUGGCCUCCUCUGGACUCGCUCCAGCAACUCCAUGACCCUUUGCUGUUGGACCCCAGAGCUGGAGGCGGCUCUGCAGAUGGGGUCUUACCUGAGGACUGGAAGGGGUCCCAGGAGCUGCUGCCCCUGUGGAGGUGUGAUGAGGGAAGGCAAACUGCUCGCUGGAGGCUCACAGAGCCCAUGUCCAGGACUAUGUUGUUGGAGGAUGCUACUCAGCAGUUUAAAUAAAUGUUUGUAAACCCAAAAGACGUUCUUUUUCCCCCUCAAAUCCAAAGGAACACAGAUGGCUACAUCAAACUUCAAAAUUUAAAAUCUCCAAACUUCUCCUUGUGGUUGUGGAGACAUUCAAGGGCACCUCUGAAUAAGAAAGCACAGGAUACCUGCCUUGGCUCUGUCCCAGUGGCAAGUGAGGACGGGAAAUCACCUGGCUGGCUGUGGACUGGGCUGAGUCUAGUUGUGACUGGGUGCUUUAUCCCUGGGUUAUAUUUCUGCUAUGAAAACCCACCGAGAAUCAGGUUGGGUUGGGCUGCAACACCAGGACCAAACUGCAUCCCAGCUGCCACAGCCUCUCAGGGAGGGUUUGGCUCAGAGCUGGUGGGAGGAGGCUGCAGCUCUUUGACACGGCUCUUUCUGCCCUAUCCUCAUUAGCUUUGCUCUUGGGAGCUGUUCUGCUUUAUAGAACACUUGAACACGAAUCUGGAAUGAGGUGUGGGACCCGAGCCUCCCAGGAGGGCAGCAGCAGCACCAGGCUGCAGGGUCAUUUCCAUGCUCUGGCACAACAAAUGCUCCUUCUGACUGAAAUGGCUUAGAAGCAAAUGUCUGAGACAAACCCAUCUCAUCAUGGUCUGCAGCCCAACAGGGUGCCAGCUCACGGGUGGCAAUUAACUCUUUGCCCUGAUUUAAACUUAGCUGUCAUUUAAACCUAGCUUUCUUCUGUCCUUUGCUUGGAGCCACACAUGUUAAGAAGGCACCAGCUCCUCAGUUAUUGUGGAGUGAAAGCCUUGUCCUGCUGUGUAACUAUGGAGGAAGUGCGUGACAAUAGUGAAAGGAACACAACACCCUAAUCCAAGCCUUGCUUUAGUGCCUGAUUCCCUGGGUGGAUUAGGACUCCAUCCCUAUUCCUUUCCAGCACCUGCAUACUCUCACAGAGGUCCUCAGCGCAUGGUGCAAAUCACAUUUGUGCAACUUGGUCAGGGUUGAUUUUUUUCAUUGCCAUAACAGGAGUAUUUGUCAAGCCCUUCAUGCACAUUAAUAAUUUUUUCUUUCAAUAAGCAUUUCCACUGGACCAGAUUCAUCAGGAGUAAAAACUGCCGGUGGAGGCAAGGGGAAAAAUCAGGAAAAAAACCCACAAAACAAAGACAGGUUACCUCUGAGCGGCCGAGGCGGUCCAGGUUAGAGAUAUCAUACACAUCAGCCACGGCUGCUGUGUCUACUCCACCAGUGCCGCGCUUCUGCAGGCGCAGGUUCUCCAGGAUUUUGGGAAACCUGGGGUCCUGUCACAAGAAACAGGUUUGAGUUUAUUGCCUGUCAGUGUGUGUGUCGUACCAUGUCCUUGCCAUGCUUUGAUCAAUGGAUUAACAGCAUUGCCAGAGGGGCAGGCAGCGGUGGAGAUUUUCUCAUCCUUGGAUUACUGCCCAUCCUGGGAGCUUCCUGCUGAGCACAUUAAUUUCCAUAACAAAGACAAUAAUUUGCAGAAUUAAAGCGUGCUCAAUUAAACAUGCAUUACAUGCAUCCUGCUAACUUGCAGUCACCAUGAGCUGUCAUUUUUCAUCUGUUCCUUUAUAAAUCAGAAGAGCUGAAUUAUGUCACCAGCUUUUUAAAGGACUCACGUACCUUGCUCAGCCUGGGCAGCUUCACAUGGACUCCAGCUCUCAGACCAGUGCCCAGGUUGGAAGGACAGGUCAGGACAUACCCGAGACGCUCAUUCCACAUAAACUCCCAGCCACGUUCCUUAAUUAAUCUCUCCACCUAUGGUAGCAAGACAGAAAGAAAGCAAAAAGGGCAACAUGCAAAUGUCUCAUUUCAAGAUGUCUGCUGGUAGCUGAGAUUCUUCUUGCCAUGUGUUUGUGUUGAUGAACUUCACUAACACCAGUGGAGUGGCAGGAAUUCACAUCUGGGUCCAGUCUGGUUUAGGUGUGACAAAAAUGUUUGUACUCACCAGGUGCCUCUGGAUAUCUCUGUCAUUUUCUCAUGACCACCAGCUUGCAGACUCUUUGCCACUUCAUCACAAAGCUCCCUAUCCUGGUGUUUUUGUGAAGCCUUAGCUCAUGAAGCCACGUGUACCUAAGAAUUGUGGCUUUUGCCAUUUGUUUCUAACUUGGUAAUUUUGGACUAGUUUGCAACACACAGUCCCAAAGGACUCAAUCACUAUGAAGCAAACAAGGAGCUGAACCUGAGUUUUGUGUAAUUUUCAAGAUGAUGCCCUGACUCCUGGGGCAGGACACCUGGCCUCUAAAUGUCCAGUAUUAACAGCCACACCUCCUUUAUAAGGAGACACAGCUUGUACAUAAUGCUUUUCAUUAGUAAGUCUCUGACCAGAUUAGACAGGAGAGUGAAAUAAUUAUCUGCAGGAAGAUCACAAGGGUCUAUUGACCUUUGAGUAGGCUGGUACUUUUUUCACCCAUCUGCUCUUCUCAGGUUUGCUUGUGCAAUCCAAAUACAAUUUCAGUUCAGUUCUCUUCUCCUGAGGAGAACUGGAUGCAUAAACCAGCUCAUGCUCACAAGACUUCUGCAAAUAUAGCUGAAUACUUCUGUUCUGCAGAAGGAUACAGACUAAAUGGCCUUCUAAAAUAAUUUCUAUAUUGUGUGAGCACAACAGAACAGAUGGUGAGAAACUAGGCCUGAUUUCCUACCCCAGACACCUGUUCUAGUGAUAGUUCCCAAAGCUGCCUGACUACUUUGCCUGCUAUAGUGGGUUUCUGUGGCUGGGUUUUGGUAGUGGGGGGGCGCUAUGGAGGUGGCAGCUGUCAGAAGCUGCUAGAAGCUUCCCCGGUCCCAUGGAGCCAAUGCCAGCCGGCUCCAGGAUGGACUUCCUGCCACUGGCUAAGGCCGAGCCAAUCAGGAGUAAUAGUAAUGCUACUGUGAUAACAUAUUUAACAUAACAAAAGAACAGAAGAUUGUUGCAGAGAAAAAAUUCCAGCCAGGGAAGAGCUAAGUGAGAACAUGGGAAUAACAAUGUAGACACCAAGGUCAGUGCAGAAGGAGGGGCAGGAGGUGCUCCAGGACCCUGCAGCCCGUGGUGCAGCCCAUGGUGGAGCAGCUGUGCCCCUGCAGCCCAUGGAGGACCAUUGGGGUGCAGAGACCCACCUGCAGCCCAUGGAGGAGCCCAUGCUGGAGCAGGUGGAUGCAUGAAGGAGGCUGUGACCCUGUGGGAGGCCCAAGAUGGAGCAGAGUCCUAUUGGAGACCUGCAGCCAGUGGAGAGGAAAGCCCAUACUGGAGCAGAUUUUUCCUGGGUAGGACUUGUGGCUGCUGUGGGGGACCCACGGUGGAGCAGCUCAUUCAUGAAGGACUGCACCCAUGGAGGAGUGACCCAUGGGACAGCAGUUUGGGAAGAACUGUUGCCUGAGGGAUGGACUCACGCUGGAGAGGUCCAUCAAGGACUGUCUCCCAUGGAAGGGACCCCACAGGAGCAGGGGAAGGACUCCUCUCCCUGAGCAGCAGCAGAAACAACAACUGACCAUAACCCCCAUUCCAGUCCCCCUGCACUGCUGAGGGGGAGGAGGGAGAAAACCAAAGGAAGGAGGGGUGGGGGGAAGGUGCUUUUAAGACUGUUUUAUUUCUCACUCUUUGGCUCUUAUUCUGAGAGUAAUAAAUUUAAAUAAUAUCCCCACUUUGAGUCUGUUUUGCCCAUGAAAGUAAUCAGUAACUGACCUCUCCCAGCUUUUAUCUCAACUCAUGAAUCCUUAGCUGUUUCUUUUUCUCUCUCCUUUGUCUAGUUGCAGAAGGGAGAGUGAGACAGUGGCUUUAGUGGGUACCUGACAUCUGGACAGGGUCAACCCGCUACACCUGGCCAGGUCCAUAGGUGCUGCUCUGCUGACAUGGGCUGAGCACAGUGGUGGAGUCAGAGCUGGGAGCAACCUCGGCAAACUGUGUCACCUGUGCCACCUCCUGUGCACUGCUCAGCCCUACAGGUGUGCCCUGGGAACCGGUCAGGGCUCAGUCACCUCCCUGAUGGCACAGGAGCACCUGUCAGGUGACUUUGUUUUUCUGUGCCCCAAAGCCCACUCCAUACUCAGACUUCCCCAUGGAUGCUCCGAGCAUCCUCUGCUUCCACAAUGAAGACUCUGUAGUUCCUGCUGUCCCUAUUUAGCCUUGCUUUUUUUGGCUGAGAGCUGUGAAGUGAUAAAGAAGGGGUAUACAACUGUAUUAGUCCAUGGCAGGGUGUAGUGGGUUUGUGUAGUUAAAUAACACUUCCCUUUCCCGGGAGGAACAGGAUAUUCCAUACCAUGUUAUGUUAGCCUGGCUAUAAAAGGGAAGGAAGAGUUUGCUCGGCCCUUCUUCUUCCGAGAUGGCCCUUUAGGCAGCUACGUCUCUCCAAAACACCGCUCAGUGGGGGAGGUAGAAUUUUUACUGUUAGUUUCCUUUGCCUGUGUGUUUGUAGCAUUAUUAGUCUCUUCCUUUUUUUCUCCAUGUAAAUAUAAACUUUCUUUCUUGGUAAGCCCCGUUUUUCACGUUUUUUUUUUUCUUUCAUCUCCCAUUUUUGGGGGGGAAGUCUGCGCAGUCUCGGUGGACACCUGGCGUUCAGCCAAAGUAAACAGGUACACAGGGGCUUGGAACUAGUUAGUCAUUAAAGUCCCUUCCAACCCAAACCAUUCAAGGGUGUCAUGAUAUUGCCCGUGGGACACAGUAAAGUCCACUUUCUCUGUUAAAUCAACAUUUUCUGUCCCAGAGCAGUACACAGGGCUUGAGUCGUAACUGGACUGUCUGGACAAAACUGUUUUAAACCACCAUCUCAUGAAACCUUUUUUGUCACUGUGAAUAGAUAGACCAGAAUAAAAUCCAGGAUUCCUGGCUAUUGGUUUUUAGUAUUUUAAUCACAAACCCAUAUCUCCUCAAAAGUGGUCGUGCCUUGAGUCCUGUGCACAACCUCAGCAGCCUCCACUCAUCUCCCAGCAUCAGAAAUGAGAACCAGGAGGCUGGGCCAAAUAAAUUCUUCAUUCAGGCAAAUCAAGCAAUCCAAGUAAAAUGCUUGAUUUAUGAAUUUCCACAGUCCACAGUCCCAAAAUGGUAAAAAAAAAGGGGAUAUUUAUUUGGUUUUCCCUACAACUCAGUUACCAAUUUGCCCGUUUCCUCCUUUAACUGCUGUGUGGACUGGUGUUACUCCAUUUUGCUGCUUCCUGAGAUGUCAGCUCAGUGUGAACCACAGGGAGCAGUGCUGACAGCAAUAAUUAAAUAGGAAUAAUAAAAUCACUGAGAUACUACCUCUUUUAAACCACGGCAGAACCUCUCAAACACCCGCUUCAUGUUGCCACCCUUCUCCAUGGAGAUCACCCUGGUGUGGUCCUCUUCAUUAAUCCAGAUGAGAAAUGUCUUCUCAUUGUUAUGC